rnacentral:rRNA from 1 species
CGGUAGACGAUGUGGAUGCGUUCCAUUAGAUAGUAGGCGGGGUAACGGCCCACCUAGUCAACGAUGGAUAGGGGUUCUGAGAGGAAGGUCCCCCACAUUGGAACUGAGACACGGUCCAAACUCCUACGGGAGGCAGCAGUGAGGAAUAUUGGUCAAUGGGCGAUGGCCUGAACCAGCCAAGUAGCGUGAAGGAUGACUGCCCUAUGGGUUGUAAACUUCUUUUAUAAAGGAAUAAAGUCGGGUAUGCAUACCCGUUUGCAUGUACUUUAUGAAUAAGGAUCGGCUAACUCCGUGCCAGCAGCCGCGGUAAUACGGAGGAUCCGAGCGUUAUCCGGAUUUAUUGGGUUUAAAGGGAGCGUAGAUGGAUGUUUAAGUCAGUUGUGAAAGUUUGCGGCUCAACCGUAAAAUUGCAGUUGAUACUGGAUGUCUUGAGUGCAGUUGAGGCAGGCGGAAUUCGUGGUGUAGCGGUGAAAUGCUUAGAUAUCACGAAGAACUCCGAUUGCGAAGGCAGCCUGCUAAGCUGCAACUGACAUUGAGGCUCGAAAGUGUGGGUAUCAAACAGGAUUAGAUACCCUGGUAGUCCACACGGUAAACGAUGAAUACUCGCUGUUUGCGAUAUACGGCAAGCGGCCAAGCGAAAGCGUUAAGUAUUCCACCUGGGGAGUACGCCGGCAACGGUGAAACUCAAAGGAAUUGACGGGGGCCCGCACAAGCGGAGGAACAUGUGGUUUAAUUCGAUGAUACGCGAGGAACCUUACCCGGGCUUAAAUUGCACUCGAAUGAUCCGGAAACGGUUCAGCUAGCAAUAGCGAGUGUGAAGGUGCUGCAUGGUUGUCGUCAGCUCGUGCCGUGAGGUGUCGGCUUAAGUGCCAUAACGAGCGCAACCCUUAUCACUAGUUACUAACAGGUGAAGCUGAGGACUCUGGUGAGACUGCCAGCGUAAGCUGUGAGGAAGGU